AUACAACUAGACAGUGGAGGCCAAUAUUCAACCCAGACAGUUUGACUCCAGAGCUGGUGCUCUUAAUGGUUAUGGCAGGCUGCUUUGACAGCCUUCGAUUGGCUUUGACAAGCGACAGCAUAGAGUCUUUCCUACCUAUGGGUCCAGUGGAAGGUGGAAGGUACCAUGAGUGUGAAGAUAGUUUUCUCAUACCAGUGUCUCCUUCCUUAGACCAAAGGGAGUGAAGCUGCACACGCUGUUCUCAUAUCAGAACGCCAAUGCUGAGGGUAGAGACCAAGUCUGUUUGACUCAUCAAUGUGUGUUCGGUUACAAGCACUGCGCGUGGCGUACUCAAAUCUUUAUCACGAACCGAAUCUUUGCCCUGCCACCUGCAAACAGACUUUAGAACAAUGAAAACCACCCUCUGCAGGAUAUUGAUUCUGAUGGAGCAAAUGUUGAUUAAGCAGAAUGGUGGCUUUUUUUAACUGGAGGAAUUCCAGAUCUUUCCUUAGGCCUGUCUCUCCAGGGAAAUGAGCUCUAUCCUCAAAAAUCUACAAAAAACCUGAGUAAGAAUGCAGAUUUACGAUGGGAGACGCUAGGCGGAAGGCGGCUAUCUGGGAGAAGAGAUUCCUAUUUCAUAUUGUCCUGCUCAGAACUGUUUCAGAAUUCCUCAAGUAGUUGGUGAGUCCUCACCAAGAAUUUGGUCUCAUGAUUUUAUUGUCGUUUUUGACCAAAAAUACAAUACUCCAUUUGGUCAACUACCUCAUCAAGCAAACGAUGCUUAAAAGAUUUUUGAUAAUUUCUAAAAAAGGAAAAGCACCCAAGUCAAAUCUCCAUAGAAUGAUGGCAGUGAUGGCGUGGUGAAACUGAGGAGAGAGGACAGUGCAGAGAGAAGGAACCAGUACUUGGGUAGCUGCAGUAUCCACGGCCAAGCGUGGCCCGCCGAGAAGACUCUUGACCAUGUGAGUUCCCAUGUCUGUGAAAAACCGUGCACCCCCAUCACACCUUGUACUGUCAGUGCCUGCCACGUAUUCUCAGCAUGAUCCAAGCACUGCAACAGAUCAAAAUCCUGCCUGCGCUUCAUUUACCUGGAAGUCUCACUUUUAAAUAUUUGUGUAAAACAGUACAAGAGAAGUAUGCAGUGAGUAAUUGACAGGAGAUGUAGGAAUGGGAUAUUUCUUGGUCCUAGAAACUUCCCUGUUUUUCUUAUGCCAUCACUUGCUUCCUUACUCUCCUCACUUCCCUAGCCUGGGUCCCUUGCUCGAUCCCUUCCUUACUCAGUUCCCUGGUCCCCUUGACUUUGCCCUCCCACUGGCCCCCACCCCUGCAUCUCAGCUGGGAGCCCUCAGCACAGAGUCGUACUUCCUGUGGGUGGCUGACUGCUGUGCAUCCUUUUUCUUGUCCUCAGCCUCUCUCCAGUUCCCCUCAGCCCCCUUCCCCAAACUUCACAACUCCUCUUAGGUCUUUCCCUUCCCCACCACCUCCCCAUACCUUGUGCCUCACAGAAAAAAAAUAAAAUAAAAUAUGUAAUGAAAGAAAUUUUUAAAAAAGGAAAGAAGGAAAGGAAGAAAGAAAAAGAAAAAAAAAAGGCAGGAAGCAGGAAGGCUGGCAGACAGGAAGGCAGGCAGGAAGGAAGGAAGGCAAGAAGGCAGGAAGGCAGGCAGGCAGGAAGGAAGGAAGGCAGGAAGGAAGGAAGGCAGGCGGGCAACACCAGGGCCAGGGGCCAUCAAUCCUUUGCACUCCCAUCUUCUAAUCUCCUUCCUUUAGCUCUUUUUCACUUUCACUUCAAAGGAAACUGUGUCCCCUUUUUCUUUCCAAGGCUGGCCUCACCACCCCUGAACGUCCCCACCCUGCACAUGCACUUUAUCUGAGGUUUCUGCUCUCCUUCCAGAACUUUCUUUGUUAACUGCCUCCCUCCUAUCUUCACUAUCUCCCUCCUGUCUUUUACUUGCAGUUUCUAAUCUUCCCUCUUCUCAAAAAUAACAACUUCCUUCCCCUCUCUUUCUUUCUCAACCUUCUGCAUUACUCUGUCCUUUGGAUUUCACAUACAUAUCUCCAAAGAGAAAUCUCCGUUUUCCCCCUGUGCCUUCUUCAUGGACUCCUUCUGCACUGACCCUGCUCCUUGACUGAACUUGGUCUCAUUUAUAUGAUCAACAAAGGAGGAGGACUGCUGGGUGUGUGUUCAGCUCCACCAUUUCGUACGUGUGUGGCCUUGGACAUGUUACUUCACCUUCCUGUGUCUCAGCUUCCUCACCUGUAGAAUGGGGAAAAUAAUACUUUGGCUCCUUAAUGAACAUAAUAAUACAGUAAUGAUAGGAUGCUAAUUUGAACCAAAACUGGUAAGAAUGGCACAUAAGGGGGACAAAGAGAGUGACCUAAUGAUAGAAGAAAGUGAUUCGUGCUAGACCAUUUCCCUAGGAUGCUUUGGAGUCCCCCAUGAUAUGCACUAAAUCCCUGUGAAUCAUUCUAAUUCCAUUUCAUAGUCUACCUCUUCUUCUGAUCUUUAUCUGACUGUCCACCCUGCUGAUGGACAUGGCCUCUUUGUCUUUGGUGUCCAGGAAUUUAACCUUAGUGCUUCUCACUAGGUCCAGUCUUGCCCUGCAUUGCAUGGUAGUUAGUGUGAACUUGCCCACCUCCAAAAUGCUGCCAAAUCUUCCACACUAGCGGUAUGUUUUAUUUAGUGUAUCAGUGUGCUAGGGCUGCUAUAAUGAAUACCACAGACCGGGUGGCUACAGAAAUGUAUUUUCUCACAAUUCUAGAGGCCAGACAUGUGAGAGCAAGCUGCUGGUGCGGGCUGGUUUUUUCAGAGGCCUCUCUCCUUGGCUUGCAGAUGGCCACCUUCUUGGUGUGUCUUCACAUGGUCUUCCCUCUGUACCUGUCUGUGUCCUAAUCUCUUCUUUUUUUAAAGAUUUUAUUUAUUUUGAGAGAGAGAGAGAGUGAGAGAGUGAGCGAGCAUGAGCCCCUGGGGGGAGGGGCAGAGGGAGAGGGAAUCUCAAGCAGACUCCACACUGAGUACGGAGCCCAAAGUGGGGCUUAAUCUCACAACCCUGAGAUCAUGACCUGAACCGAAACCAAGAGUCGGACUGUCAACUGAGCCACCUGGGCACCCCCUUAAUCUCCUCUUCUAAUAAGGACACCAGACAUAUUAGAGUUGGGCCAUCCUAAUGACCUCAUUUUAAUUUAAUUACCUCCUUAAAGGCCCUAUCUCCAAAUGCAGUCAUUUUCUGAGAUACCAGGGUUUAGGACUUCAACCAUAUGAAUUUUGAGGGGGCCACAAUUCA